rnacentral:rRNA from 1 species
GGAUGAACGCUGGCGGCGUGCUUUAUACAUGCAAGUCGAGCGAACUGAUUAGAAGCUUGCUUCUAUGACGUUAGCGGCGGACGGGUGAGUAACACGUGGGCAACCUGCCUGUAAGACUGGGAUAACUUCGGGAAACCGAAGCUAAUACCGGAUAGGAUCUUCUCCUUCAUGGGAGAUGAUUGAAAGAUGGUUUCGGCUAUCACUUACAGAUGGGCCCGCGGUGCAUUAGCUAGUUGGUGAGGUAACGGCUCACCAAGGCAACGAUGCAUAGCCGACCUGAGAGGGUGAUCGGCCACACUGGGANUGAGACACGGCCCAGACUCCUACGGGAGGCAGCAGUAGGGAAUCUUCCGCAAUGGACGAAAGUCUGACGGAGCAACGCCGCGUGAGUGAUGAAGGCUUUCGGGUCGUAAAACUCUGUUGUUAGGGAAGAACAAGUACGAGAGUAACUGCUCGUACCUGACGGUACCUACC